rnacentral:rRNA from 1 species
GACGAACGCUGGCGGCGCGCUUAACACAUGCAAGUCGAACGGAAAGGCCUGCUUUCCCUUGUGGAUUGCGGGUACUCGAGUGGCGAACGGGUGAGUAACACGUGAGUGAUCUGCCCCCAACUUGGGUAUAAGCCUGGGAAACUGGGUCUAAUUCCCGAUAGGACUGCAGGGUGGUGCCUGUGGUGGAAAACGAUUUUCUAGUGGUUGGGGAUGAGCUCGCGGCCUAUCAGCUUGUUGGUGGGGUAAUGGCCUACCAAGGCGGCGACGGGUAGCCGGCCUGAGAGGGUGGACGGCCACAUUGGGACUGAGAUACGGCCCAGACUCCUACGGGAGGCAGCAGUGGGGAAUAUUGCACAAUGGGCGGAAGCCUGAUGCAGCGACGCCGCGUGGGGGAUGACGGCCUUCGGGUUGUAAACUCCUUUCGACCGCGAGGAAGCCACCUGGUUGGAAGGAUGGUGACGGUAGUGGUAGAAGAAGCACCGGCUAACUACGUG